CAUUAUUUACAGUAAAAAAAAAAAAAAGAAAGUAUAUCGAACAUGUAGAGCAUACAGUUGCAGAUAAUCAGGAUGUAGUGAUAUAGAAGAAAGUGUAGGCUAGAAAUAGAUAAAGUUAAAGAAUACAUUGCAGGGUGUCCCAGAAAAAAAAUAUUUUUGAAUUCAACAUUGUGCACUAUGUAAAUCCUCCUUAUUUGGUCCCAGUAGACCACCAUAAAAAUAUCUGGGCUCAAAGUCACUGUUUAGCUGAAGAAGGUGUUUUUAAUUUAAUUACUUAAUUACAAUUUUUCCCUAUAUGUAAAAUAUGUAUAAAAAAACUGUAUAUUUUGUGAUCAAUUCUGUUGUAUUUUUUAGUAUAGAUACUAAUAUUAAAUAUGGCUAGUGCAGGAUAUGUUGGAAAAGCUAAUGGAAGAAGAAGUCUUUAUUUGUUGGGGUACCCUCUUAAAAUAUUUUCUCCAAAUAGACUGGUGGGGAAGUUUGUCGAAGAAUUUACUGGUUUAAUCGGACUUAUUCAACUGCAAUCAAACAUUGUCCUCCAAAAUUGGAUGUUCUCUAGCGAGUACAAACAAGCUUAAAUGCAGUGGUAGUAUGUGUUAUGCUGAUAACAGAAACGAAAUAUCAAAUGUGUGCAUCAUAAGAGAGUGCUUUGUUCCAAAUGUGUGCAUCAUAACAUUUGGAACAAAGCAGGCUUUGAUGAAAAUUUUAUCAUCAUUGAACGGUUGAACAGUCUAAAACAUCUUCUUCAGUUAAA